rnacentral:rRNA from 1 species
GACGAACGCUGGCGGCGUGCCUAAUACAUGCCAGUCGAACGCACAGUUUAUACCGUAGCUUGCUACACCAUAGACUGUGAGUUGCGAACGGGUGAGUAACGCGUAGGUAACCUGCCUGGUAGCGGGGGAUAACUAUUGGAAACGAUAGCUAAUACCGCAUAAUAUUAAUUAUUGCAUGAUAAUUAAUUGAAAGGUGCAAUUGCACCACUACCAGAUGGACCUGCGUUGUAUUAGCUAGUAGGUGAGGUAACGGCUCACCUAGGCGACGAUACAUAGCCGACCUGAGAGGGGGAUCGGCCACACUGGGACUGAGACACGGCCCAGACUCCUACGGGAGGCAGCAGUAGGGAAUCUUCGGCAAUGGACGAAAGUCUGACCGAGCAACGCCGCGUGAGUGAAGAAGGGUUUCGGAUCGUAAAGCUCUGUUGUAAGAGAAGAACGGGUGUGAGAGUGGAAAGUUCACACUGUGACGGUAGCUUACCAGAAAGGGACGGCUAACUACGUG